rnacentral:rRNA from 1 species
CAAAGGUCGGCUCAAGGCGUUUGGAAAUCGCCUGUAGAGUGUAAGGGCAUAAGCCGGCCUGACUGCGAGACACACACGUCGAGCAGAGGCGAAAGCCGGGCCUAGUGAUCCGGUGGUCCCGCGUGGAAGGGCCAUCGCUCAACGGAUAAAAGGUACCCCGGGGAUAACAGGCUGAUCGGGGCCAAGAGUUCACAUCGACGCCCCGGUUUGGCACCUCGAUGUCGGCUCAUCGCAUCCUGGGGCUGAAGAAGGUCCCAAGGGUUGGUCUGUUCGCCCAUUAAAGCGGUACGUGAGCUGGGUUUAGAACGUCGCGAGACAGUUCGGUCCCUAUCUGGUGUGGGCGCAGGAGACUUGAGGGAAGCUGGCCUCAGUACGAGAGGACCAGGCUGGACCAGCCUCUGGUGUACCGGUUGUCACGCCCGUGGCAGCGCCGGGUAGCUAGGCUGGGCAGGGAUAACCGCUGAAGGCAUCUAAGCGGGAAGCCCGACCCAAGAUAAGGUCUCCCUGAAGGGCCCUGGUAGACGACCAGGUUGAUAGGCCGGAGGUGUAAGCGCCGCAAGGCGUUGAGCUGACCGGUACUAAUCGCCCGUUCGGCUUGACCACA